GACGAGCGCUGGCGGCGUGCUUAACACAUGCAAGUCGAGCGGUAAGGCCUUUCGGGGUACACGAGCGGCGAACGGGUGAGUAACACGUGAGUGAUCUGCCCUGCACUUCGGGAUAAGCCUGGGAAACUGGGUCUAAUACCGGAUAUGACCUCCUAUCGCAUGGUGGGUGGUGGAAAGAUUUAUCGGUGCAGGAUGGGCCCGCGGCCUAUCAGCUUGUUGGUGGGGUAAUGGCCUACCAAGGCGACGACGGGUAGCCGACCUGAGAGGGUGACCGGCCACACUGGGACUGAGACACGGCCCAGACUCCUACGGGAGGCAGCAGUGGGGAAUAUUGCACAAUGGGCGAAAGCCUGAUGCAGCGACGCCGCGUGAGGGAUGACGGCCUUCGGGUUGUAAACCUCUUUCAGCAGGGACGAAGCGCAAGUGACGGUACCUGCAGAAGAAGCACCGGCUAACUACGUG
rnacentral:rRNA from 1 species